rnacentral:lncRNA from 1 species
ACACACAUACGUAUAUGCGCAUACAGGGUGGCGCAGAAGUCACGAAGGGGUUUCAAUAUUUAAUAUCUUGUUUAUCUCAUUUAAAAAUUGCGAUAUUUUCGUAGGUAAGUUAUAGAAAAAGAAUGUGAGAUUUUAUUUCCCCAAGAUGUGAAAGACGGCAUUUUUUAAAUGGCAUCCGUUUUCCAAUUCGCAUAAACAACGUACUCCUUUGUAAGGUAUUUUCCAUAACAGCCUUUAAUGUUUGUGGCCCCAGUGAUCUAAUUUCUGUUCUGAUGUCAUUCUUGAGAUUUACUCUUUUACUUGUUUCAGUCAUUUGACUGUGGCCAUGCUGGAGCACUGCCUUUUAGUUGAGCAAAUCGAGCCCAGGACUUAUUCUUUGUAAGCCUAGUACUUACUCUAUCGGUCUCCUUUACCGAACCACUAAGUUAUGGGGACGUAAACACACCAGCAUCGGUUGUCAAGCGAUGUUGGGGGAGACAAACACACACUCACACACAUAUAUAUAUAUAUAUAUCUAUACAAUGGGCUUCUUUCAGUUUCCAUCUACUAAAUCUACUCACAAGGCUUUGGUCGGCCCGAGGCUAUAGUAGAAGACACUUGCCCAAGGUGCCACGCAGUGGGACUGAACCCGGAACCAUGUGGUUGGUAAGCAAGCUACUUACCAGACAGCCACUCAAAUUUUUUUCCUGAAGACAGCUCCAUAGAAAAAAGUCUGGAGUGGUUAGAUCCGGAGAACGAGAUGGCCAAUUUAUCUCUGAAAAUUAAGAAAUUUAUUUUUUAUCAAAACUUUGCCUGAGUGUUUCCUUGGUGUUCCUUAUUGUUUGGGCUGCGGCCCCUCCUGCUGAAACCGCAUAUGAGGCAUAUCUUGAAGCGCUGGAUGUAAGAAAUUUGGGAUCAUGGAUCAGUGUUUGUCUCCAGGAACAGUAACAGUGUCUCCUUCCUCAUUUUCGAAGAAAUAAGGUCCUAUCACUUUUUUCGAAGUCAUUCCACACCAGAUGGUACCCUUAAUGGGAUGCAGCUCUCUUUGAUGGAUUGCUGUAGGGUUUUCUGGACCCCAAAUCCUGCAGCUUUGUUUAUUAAUGAAUCCAUUCAAAUGAAAAUGGGUUUUAUCUGCCAUAAUCAAUUUAUGGGUGGAGGCACGUGGCUUAGUGGUUAGGGUGUCAGCAUCAUGAUCGUAAGAUUGUGGUUUCAAUUCCUGGACCGGGCUGUGUGUUGUGUUCUUGAGCAAAACACUUCAUUUCAUGUUGCUCCAGUUCACUCAGCUGGCAAAAAGGAGUAACGCUGCGAUGGACUCACGUCCCAUCCAAUUGAGAAACACAUACGCCAUUGAAACUGGGAAACUGGGCCUAUGAGCCUGGCUAGGCCUUGAAAGGGCGCCUUUAUUUAUUUUAAUCAAUUUAUGGAGAACCUCUGGGUUUUCUCUUGCUAAUUCUUGGAAUCUUGUGGCAUAUUAUAAUCCAGCAGCAUAGUCUAGUUCUUCCAGCUUUUGCACUGAUCGGAUUUUAUACAGCAAAGAUCCAUUGUUUUUAAAAUCCGUUGGAGUGAUGUCCUGCAGCUUUCAACUCAUCCAGAACAUCUUCGUGUUGUUGUUGUUGGGUCUUCUUCAAUACUCUCCCUCACAUGCCUGACUAUGGCUUUGUUUCCAAUGGAACAAGGUCUGCUUAUUCUUGGAAGGUCACUUACCAAUCCUUGAUCCACAAAUUGACUAAUUAAUUGAUUUAGACGAUUCAUUGCUCCAUAAUUACAACAAAUAUGCUCGUUGAGUCCGAAUUAUUGGUCCUUGGUUUUGAUAAUCAAAUUUCACAAUUUGUGUUCACUGUUCACUAGUGUACUUUUCCAUGCUUAAAUUUUAGAGUCGUCUGUGUAUAAUUAUGAAAUAAAACAAGAAUUAAAUAAUUAUUUAAAAAGUUAUUAAAUACUGAAACCCCUUCGUGAUGUCUGGGCCAGCCUGUG